CGUACACAACAUACCAUAUACUGGAGUAUAGUCUUUGGGUAAACGUAGAAGGUAAUCCUCCAUAACAUUGCGAGAGGGCAUCUGAUUGCAAUUAAAGUUUCGGCGGUAUAUGAUUGGUGUGCGUUUGAUUAGCUAGUUGGUAGGGUAACGGCCUACCAAGGCGACGAUCAAUAGCUGGCGUGAGAGCGCGACCAGCCACACUGGAACUGAGACACGGUCCAGACUCCUACGGGAGGCAGCAGUAGGGAAUAUUGGACAAUGGAGGAAACUCUGAUCCAGCCAUGCCGCGUGAUAGAUGAAGGCCCUCUGGGUUGUAAAUAUCUUUUAUCUGGGAAGAAACACUCCUAUUCUUAGGAACUUGACGGUACCAGAGGAAUAAGCACCGGCCAACUCCGUG
rnacentral:rRNA from 1 species